rnacentral:rRNA from 1 species
AACGAACGCUGGCGGCAGGCUUAACACAUGCAAGUCGAACGCAUCGCAAGAUGAGUGGCAGACGGGUGAGUAACGCGUGGGAACAUACCCUAUGGAAUAGCUCCGGGAAACUGGAAGUAAUACCAUAUACGCCCGAAAGGGGAAAGAUUUAUCGGGGUAUGAUGAGCCCGCGUUGGAUUAGCUAGUUGGUGGGGUAAAGGCCUACCAAGGCGACGAUCCAUAGCUGGUCUGAGAGGAUGAUCAGCCACAUUGGGACUGAGACACGGCCCAAACUCCUACGGGAGGCAGCAGUGGGGAAUAUUGGACAAUGGGCGCAAGCCUGAUCCAGCCAUGCCGCGUGAGUGAUGAAGGUCUUAGGAUUGUAAAGCUCUUUCACCGAUGAAGAUAAUGACGGUAGUCGGAGAAGAAGCCCCGGCAAACUUCGUGCCAGCCGCCGCGGUAAUAC